GACUUGUUAAUUUGAACGUUGGAAUGGGCAAACUGGGCACUAAAACGGGCAUUCAUGUUGAGAAUAAUGACAGUUUUCAGGUUAAGUGGCUAUACUUUUUUUUUCAAAUUAAGUGACAAUCUUUUAAAAAUUUGAGUAAAUCUAAUAAAGCCAUGAGAGAUGCUAAAAAACUGAUCGCCACUAUAUAUACUCCCUCCGUCCACCAUGAACCAUAUGUUUGUAGGGUUAGGACUUAUUUCCGGACGGAGGGAACCUGAGACUUUGCAAGCUAUACUAAUUAAGCUACCAUACUUCCAU
rnacentral:lncRNA from 1 species